rnacentral:rRNA from 1 species
GACGAACGCUGGCGGCGUGCUUAACACAUGCAAGUCGAACGGAAAGGCCCUGCUUUUGUGGGGUGCUCGAGUGGCGAACGGGUGAUUAACACGUGAGUAACCUGCCCUUGACUUUGGGAUAACUUCAGGAAACUGGGGCUAAUACCGGAUAGGAGCUCCUGCUGCAUUGUGGGGGUUGGAAAGUUUCGGCGGUUGGGGAUGGACUCGCGGCUUAUCAGCUUGUUGGUGGGGUAGUGGCUUACCAAGGCUUUGACGGGUAGCCGGCCUGAGAGGGUGACCGGCCACAGUGGGACUGAGAUACGGCCCAGACUCCUACGGGAGGCAGCAGUGGGGAAUAUUGCACAAUGGGCGGAAGCCUGAUGCAGCAACGCCGCGUGCGGGAUGACGGCCUUCGGGUUGUAAACCGCUUUCGCCUGUGACGAAGCGUGAGUGACGGUAAUGGGUAAAGAAGCACCGGCUAACUACGUG